AGUAAUUAGGAACAUGGUACAUACAUUUUAAUGUACUAAAUGCAACUUUACCUCCUCAACUUUAUUGUUCAAGUAUGACAUAUCAAGCUUAUCAUCAGCAAAAAAUGUUCAUUUUAUUGCAUAGUUUUAUGUGCCGAAGGUGAGAUUACAACAUUAAGCUUGAAUCGAAAGUUAAGUCAUAAUCCACAUAGUUGUUGUAUAAUCUUGGCACUUCUUCAGAUUUUCCGUCCAAGCAGAUCAAGAAAAAAUAUUCAUAGCUGCAUGGAUGAGUGUUGUCCCGCACUGCACAAUUUCCCCAUCCAUGUCGUAGAACGAAUGUAGCCAACCUGUGAGGCAUCAGUUGAUUGUGCCCGCAACCGUAUUUGCAUCAAAACACCACCAGUACAGUACGUCCUCCAUGCCUCCGGCCUCCAGCAAGCGACACAAUAAGAAGCAGAGGAGACCCCGUGCUAGUAUCGGCCGGUUGCAGAUAUUGAUGUAUCCCAUCCCAAGCGGAGGCGUCAAACAACGCUGGCCUCUUAGGUCACGCCGCCUCUCCUCACUUCAUUAUCUCUAACUGCUGAGUGUUGGGUCCCAAUGUAAUCAGCGCCCGCCAGCCACCAGCCAAGACGUGAGAGUUGGUACAUGGCGAGAGAGGUGGAGGAGGAUCCGGAGAACAGGGGAUUGAUAGCGAGGUGGAAGAGGAGGCUUCAAUGGGAUUUUGCGGCUAAUCGAGGACGGCCGACGAUGCCAAAGUUGUGCAUAUCAUGAUCUGCAUGCUGCGGAGGAGACCACAAGAGGAAGAUCUGAUAUGAACAUGUAACAUGACAUCAUCCUUAUAAAUUAGUUUUAUCCGUUUGGCUGGAGUCCA